UAUUUCUUUUACUCCAAAAGGCUGAGAGUGAAGUUUUGAAAAAAAUUGAAUUAGAAAAAUUGUAAUUGGAAAGAAAAUUUUGAAUUUUUAAAGCAGAUUUAAAGAAGUUAAUUUUUUAUGUUUAUCUGCAAAAUUGAGAUUGUAUGUCCAUCGUUAGUUUGUUGAGAGUAUGCAAGAAUUUAUAAUCGAUGUGAUAAGAGAGUGACUUUGCAGCUGUUAUAGCGCCAACAGAAAAUGAUAACGGCUUCUCUUAACUAUUAUUAUUUAGUUUAACUUUUUGUAUAAGUAUGAGAUAGCUUAUUUAACUUGAUAUAGCCACCUUUCCCUAGUUGUAUUUCUGGCCGUCUAACAAGAUUUUACUGUAUUGUUAUGCCAUUUCUGCCGACAAAAUACUACAAAAUGUAUUUAGUUUUGGAAUACUGCCAGAGACUCGAAACAUCCUCAGCCAUGUUUUAUGUAAUAUUUGCCGUGUUUAAUGUUUUAUGUAAUAUUAUCGUAUUUAUUGUUGUGAAUAAUGCACACUUAUUUACAUAUACAUCUUGCUGCAGAGCUACGAAUUUGCCGAGAGACGAGCUUGAGUGGAACGCGUGGCGGAGUCAUAGCUACAUCCGUGGUAUCUUGAUCAAAUCACUAUCAGUGAGAGGUACGGGUUCUGCGAUGAAGUUCCCCGGCGAGCAAACGGUGCGCGAAGCCAGAAUUGACCCAGUUGCCUAUAAAGCGAUAGGCAAAGCAGCCCCAGCGUCGCGGCGCUAUUUUCGCUCAGCGCGUCGCUAACUUUAGACGUACGGCCGACGGACGCUCCCUAAUAAGUUCAAGCGACGAUUAUGGUGGCCGACGCGGCCGCCGCCGCUGCUGAAGCGGCCGCCGACGACGACGACGACGGAUAAAACAUAACGCCCCGCCGCGAGGCAGCGACGAGCGUGCCAAAAUUAUGCCCGUCCGCGGAAAAGGACUAGCGUGCUCGCACGGCCGAAGACCUCGACUGUGAACACGACUAUGAGUACAACUACGAAGGAGAGAGACGGCCGUUCGCCCCGCAUUCUCGUGUGUUCGCCGUUUUUAUGGCCGGCAUCUUGGAUCCUGUCUCUGCCUGUUGUUGGAACGAAAAAUGAGUGUACCAUGCGACGUAACAAUUAUGUGAGCGGCUUGAUAAUGCGCCAAGAACUGAUCUCAAUGGCUACAGUGAUACGCUGUGAACUUGAACUUCUUCGGUAAUGGACUGAAGAAUUCUCUUAGGACAAAGGAAGAUCUUCAAAGGACGUGGAAGUCUGAGGAGCCGAAGGAACUAGCUGAGUGAUAUGAGGAGUGCUGUAAGAGGAUGCAAAUAAACCAAAUACAGACUUCAUGUAAGGCUUCGAUCUCUCGUGGUCAUUCUCGUUGCCGGGAUGCUUUUGGCAUACGUUGGAAAUUCCCGACGCUUCGCGACGCUCCUGAAAAUAUCCACUCAUGGCCAAAUCAGGAUAUUAACGCGAGACGGUGUACUCCUCCAGUGCGAAAUAUUUGGAUACCCGAUGAAUGCAUUGCGACAAAGAAUAGAAGGUGACAGAAAUAUCCGUGCUAUUCAUACGCAUGGCGAGCCCUUAAGUCUCCCUUGAUCCUCGAUGCGUUCCUGAUGAGUAAAGCGCUUGACUUUUCACCCACGUACGUGGCCGUGACUGCGUUCUCAGAAGAAAUAAAACGGGAGAGAGUAUAGGACUAAGAAUAAAUCUCGACGACUCAUAAACCCUUGAGUCCACUCGAUGGAGGAAAACCGCGCAAAA
rnacentral:lncRNA from 1 species